AGCUAAGGUGAGGCCGAAAGGCGUAGCCGAUGCACAGACGGUAGAGAUUCCGUCACCACCAAAAGAGUUAAGCACAGGGACACAUUUGAAGUCUCAGAGCCGGGUGUUGGUUCCGGUAGAGAUCGAGGGAAGUUAGUACCGAAGUCUGAGAUGGAAGAUGGCGAGAAAAGCUGUGUGUAUUUCUGAGGUGCCCGUACCGCAAACCGACACAGGUAGGUAGGAAGAAGAUUCUAAGGCCAACGGGAGAAGGGUUGUUAAGGAACUCGGCAAGUUGACCCCGUAACUUCGGAAUAAGGGGUGCUCACGAGAGUGAGCCGCAGAGAAUAGGCCCAGGCAACUGUUUACCAAAAACACAGGUUUGUGCUAAAUCGAAAGAUGACGUAUACGAGCUGACGCCUGCCCGGUGCUGGAAGGUUAAAAGGAGAUGUGCAAGCAUUGAAUUGAAGCCCCAGUGAACGGCGGCCGUAACUAUAACGGUCCUAAGGUAGCGAAAUUCCUUGUCAGGUAAGUUCUGACCCGCAUGAAAGGCGUAAUGAUUUGGGCACUGUCUCAACAGCCCGCCCGGCGAAAUUGUAGUACCGGUGAAGAUGCCGGUUACCCGCGACAAGACGGAAAGACCCCAUGGAGCUUUACUGUAGCCUGAUAUUGGGUUUCGGUGUUGCAUGCACAGGAUAGAUGGGACGCUAGGAAAGAAGCGCUUUGGCGUUUCUGGAGCGGACGUUGGGAUACCAUCCUUGCGACAUUGGAAUUCUAACCUGCGCCUCUGAAUCGAGGCGGGGGACAUUGUCAGGUGGGCAGUUUGACUGGGGCGGUCGCCUCCUAAAAAGUAGCGGAGGCGUUCAAAGGUUCGUUCGAUCUGGACGGAAACCAGAUGAUUGAGUGCAAACGCAUAAACGAGCCUGACUGCGAGACUGACGGGUCGAGCAGAGACGAAAGUCGGAGUUAGUGAUCCGGUGGUAUGUGAGUGGAAAUGCCAUCGCUCAACGGAUAAAAGCUACCCUGGGGAUAACAGGCUGAUCUCCCCCAAGAGUCCACAUCGACGGGGAGGUUUGGCACCUCGAUGUCGGCUCAUCGCAUCCUGGGGCUGAAUUCGGUCCCAAGGGUUUGGCUGUUCGCCAAUUAAAGCGGUACGCGAGCUGGGUUCAGAACGUCGUGAGACAGUUCGGUCCCUAUCUGUCGUGGGCGCAGGAUAUUUGAAAGGCGCUGUCCCUAGUACGAGAGGACCGGGAUGGACGAACCUCUGGUGCACCAGUUGUCACGCCAGUGGCACAGCUGGGCAGCUAUGUUCGGAUCGGAUAAACGCUGAAAGCAUCUAAGCGUGAAGCCGGCCUUAAGAUAAGAUAUCCCACUGAGUCAAUCAGGUAAGACCCCUUGAAGACUACAAGGUUGAUAGGCACACAGUGUAAGCGGAGUGAUCCGUUCAGCUAGCGUGUACUAAUAGGUCGAGGGCUUGACCC
rnacentral:rRNA from 1 species